CCCGGUUAGCUCAAUUGGUAGAGCGCUCCACUUGUAAUGGAAAGGUCCCUGGUUCAAUACCCUAGGACCAGG
rnacentral:tRNA from 1 species